rnacentral:rRNA from 1 species
CCUACGGGAGGCAGCAGUGAGGAAUAUUGGUCAAUGGACGCAAGUCUGAACCAGCCAUGCCGCGUGCAGGAAGACGGCUCUAUGAGUUGUAAACUGCUUUUGUACGAGGGUAAACGCAGAUACGCGUAUCUGUCUGAAAGUAUCGUACGAAUAAGGAUCGGCUAACUCCGUGCCAGUAGCCGCGGUAAUACGGAGGAUUCAAGCGUUAUCCGGAUUUAUUGGGUUUAAAGGGUGCGUAGGCGGUCGGAUAAGUUAGAGGUGAAAACCCGAGGCUCAACUUCGGAAUUGCCUCUGAUACUGUUCGGCUAGAGAGUAGUUGCGGUAGGCGGAAUGUAUGGUGUAGCGGUGAAAUGCUUAGAGAUCAUACAGAACACCGAUUGCGAAGGCAGCUUACCAAGCUACUUCUGACGUUGAGGCACGAAAGCGUGGGGAGCAAACAGGAUUAGAUACCCCAGUAGUC